UCUCGAUGUGCUUGCAGCUCAGCGUCCCGGCCAGAUGGCGACCCUCUGCAGGAAGGAAGCCGCUCAGGUGCCUGCUGGGCAGCUUUGCCCUUGCCUAGAGUGGGCCUUGCACAGGAUGACAGGUAGGUCGUGGUGGGGCCUCCCAGCCCGGAGCCGAAGAAGGGUUUCUGGAACUUUGGAGAAGCUUCGUCGAUCCGUGACUGAGAAGACGAUGAGAAAGGCAUCCCCCGUCUGAAGGCAGUGGUCCUGCAGCCAUCCUCCUGCGUCUCCCUAGCAGACGAGCAGAGAACCAUAAAAUGCCAGGACUGGAGGCAUAGCCUGGAACCUGCAGCUCAGCCACCAGUAAUUUGACUUGCUUAGGACCGGAAGCUAGUGAAUGGCAGAAUGCCAACAGCCAGGGACCUUGCGGAGGAUGGAGAAGUUAGUGAUGUGAGCCCCGCGUGGGAGAAUUGGGGAAAUAGGAUUUCAGAGUAGGUUAACCAUCUACUUUCUUAGAUGUAAGCCCUUGGUUUGGGAGGAUGUUAUUCAGGAAUAUGGAAGGACUGGGGAUGGAGAGCACAACUGGGAGAAGGCUGGCCUGGUAUGAGUGCAGAGAGGCCAGCAUAUUGUGAGCCCCACGCAGCAGGCUAAGGCAAGCAGAGGGUUGUGAGUUCUAGGCCAGUGUGGACUACAGUGAGACCCUGUUCCCCAACAUAAAGAGCUAAAAAUUAAAACAAACACAAUUUAGCCUCUUCUUUCUAUACAGUAAUAUUAUGUUCUUUUUAAAUUAAAAAAAAAUUUUUUUUUUUUUUUUGGCUCUCCUGGACUAGCUUUGUAGACCAGGCUGGCCUCGAACUCACAGAGAUCCGCCUGCCUCUGCCUCCCUGAAUGCUGGGAGUGGCAUGCUCUACUGCUCCCAACUGUAACAUUAUGUUGAAGUGUUCUGAAGCCCCACAUCCUUUUACUGGUUGUAUAGAGCCCUUUGUCCUUUCAUAUCAGACUUCCAGGCUGACGUAUGCAUGCGUGGGUCAAUUUCUGUGGGUUUAACCUGACUUGAAGCUGAAGGGUUUGUCAAAUUCAGAUUCGAACUGUUCUCUGAGCCAAGAGGUCCCAGAACAAUGGUGGGUAUCCCAACCAUGAGCCAUGACAGGCAUGCCACGGCCGGCCUUCUCUCCUUGAGAGGCGGCGAUGCAAAGUCAUGUUCUAACCACUGUUGGGCCAGGAUCGGUGAUGCCAGCAGCUUCAGCCAGACGGCCCCUCCCAAGUCCCUGCCGCUUCACCUGCUCACCGCCACGUCCUCAUCCUCACCUGCUCCCAGAUGUCAUAAACAAUUAAAGUCACUUCUUCUUUGUCCACCAUGA